CAGCAGCCGCGGGAAUACGUAGGGUGCAAGCGUUACUCGGAAUUACUGGGCGUAAAGCGUGCGUAGGUGGUGGUUUAAGUCCGUUGUGAAAGCCCUGGGCUCAACCUGGGAAUUGCAGUGGAUACUGGAUCACUAGAGUGUGGUAGAGGAUAGUGGAAUUUCCGGUGUAGCAGUGAAAUGCGUAGAGAUCGGAAGGAACAUCAGUGGCGAAGGCGGCCAUCUGGGACAACACUGACGCUGAGGCACGAAAGCGUGGGGAGCAAACAGGAUUAGAUACCCGAGUAGUCCCUGUCUCUUAUAC
rnacentral:rRNA from 1 species